rnacentral:rRNA from 1 species
CAAUCAAACCGGGAGAUAGCUGGUUCUCCCCGAAAGCUAUUUAGGUAGCGCCUCGUGAAUUCAUCUCCGGGGGUAGAGCACUGUUUCGGCUAGGGGGCCAUCCCGGCUUACCAACCCGAUGCAAACUGCGAAUACCGGAGAAUGUUAUCACGGGAGACACACGGCGGGUGCUAACGUCCGUCGUGAAGAGGGAAACAACCCAGACCGCCAGCUAAGGUCCCAAAGUCAUGGUUAAGUGGGAAACGAUGUGGGAAGGCCCAGACAGCCAGGAUGUUGGCUUAGAAGCAGCCAUCAUUUAAAGAAAGCGUAAUAGCUCACUGGUCGAGUCGGCCUGCGCGGAAGAUGUAACGGGGCUAAACCAUGCACCGAAGCUGCGGCAGCGAACGUAUCACCCAAGACAACUUUACGGAGUUGACGAUUGACGGAGCGAAGCGACGUCAAAGCGUUCAUUAAAGUCGAGUUGGCUUAGGGAUACGUUCGUUGGGUAGGGGAGCGUUCUGUAAGCCUGUGAAGGUGUGUCGUGAGGCAUGCUGGAGGUAUCAGAAGUGCGAAUGCUGACAUAAGUAACGAUAAAGCGGGUGA